ACAUGGAUGUAGGCGUGUUCUGACUCAUGUAAGUACUUAGAACGAGGAUUUACGGAAACAACCCUUUUAUGUUAUGAAUUUUACGUUCUCGAAAAUUGUGAAUUUUUUUUAGAGUAGCCUCUCUAAUAGGUUUAUAUAUGAAAUUUAGGAGGAUUAUUUGGAAAAUUCCUUCCGCUUAAUGAUAAAAUUCAUUCGUUUUAAGUUUUAACCUUAUGUUUCUCCUCUUUCACG